CACCUCAUCCCCCUAGAACGACUCGUUCCACAUCCGUGGAACACAAAAGUAUAACCUCUCCGUCCUCUCUUCUUCCUCCUUGUUUCCAUCUGAGGGCAUCUUCGCUCCCUCUCUGUUUCGUCCCGUCCCAUCUACAUACCAAACGAUACCUAACUAAUCCCCGACCUAGAACGAUCCCUACUUACGCCUACUACAACUAUCUUAAUAGGGUUUAACUUGUGUGUUAGUUUUUACCACAUCAUGAACUUGAUUAGAUUUUGCAUUGUUUUAGGCCAUUGCAUAUUAAGUCUAUGAUAAAAAUUAGGGAUUGUUUGUUUGAUUUUUUCCGUAUUCAUAAUUGUUCAGCAUAAUCAAAAUUAGAGUUUUUUUUUGGUGUGCUGAUUUUCAGGUACUCUAUAUUAGUAAUUGCUUAUUUCAAAAGGGAACGUGGGGAUAUGAUAGAGAUGUAACCAAAUUUCCAAUCUUCAACCAUUGACUUUUUGAAUGUGGUCGGUCAGGCAAUUAAUAUGAGGAUUAUGAGGACAAUGAGAAUGGCAAAGAAUAUGAAGAGGAAGAGGAAAAUUCGGAAAAGUUUCACCCCCAUUACAUUUGCACCUUACAGUUUCCAGUUGGAUUGAAAUCCUCCAUCUUCUUCCAUAUGCUCACCAGUCUCCUCUAACGGAAUAUUCAAAAGGAUAAACAUGGGAUGAAACUGUAAAGCAAUGGACAGUUUUACGAGAAAGAACACAAAAUUUAGAGCAUAACAGGUUCCUUUGUUUCUUUGCAGAUGAAUGGAGAACUUUAAGACAUUUCUCAUGUGGAUUUUUCUUAUAGAAAAGGAACAAGAUAAAGCUUUUUGAUUGUUUGGAUCGACAGGGAACAACAAGCAUUUUUGCAAGCCAUUUGAAGUCCAUCUAAAUAAGAAUUCAGGACUAUGUGUUGUCUUGCUUAAUCAGUGCAAAGAGAAUGAACCACUGGAGAUCUGCUAUGCCAAAAAGAAAACAAGUACGGAAGAUGGAGAUUAGUUCUUAACUGCUCUCAUUGUGGAGGACAAAAGUAUAAACAUUAAACACAAAGGUUUUUGAAUUAUAUGUGGAUUGAGGAGAAAAAUAUAAGAGUAUAUAAAAUAUAAUUUCUCUUUCCGUGUUUAGUGAAUGGAAUAACAAAUUUCUGUAUAAUUUUAGUACUUCUGCAAACAAGUACCGUCUGAUAGCAAAUUGUCAAUUUUACUUGCAACAUUUUUAA